rnacentral:rRNA from 1 species
AGUGAACGCUGGCGGUAGGCCUAACACAUGCAAGUCGAACGGCAGCACAGAGGAGCUUGCUCCUUGGGUGGCGAGUGGCGGACGGGUGAGGAAUACAUCGGAAUCUACUCUGUCGUGGGGGAUAACGUAGGGAAACUUACGCUAAUACCGCAUACGACCUACGGGUGAAAGCAGGGGACCUUCGGGCCUUGCGCGAUUGAAUGAGCCGACGUCGGAUUAGCUAGUUGGCGGGGUAAGGGCCCACCAAGGCGACGAUCCGUAGCUGGUCUGAGAGGAUGAUCAGCCACACUGGAACUGAGACACGGUCCAGACUCCUACGGGAGGCAGCAGUGGGGAAUAUUGGACAAUGGGCGCAAGCCUGAUCCAGCCAUACCGCGUGGGUGAAGAAGGCCUUCGGGUUGUAAAGCCCUUUUGUUGGGAAAGAAAUCCAGCUGGCUAAUACCCGGUUGGGAUGACGGUACCCAAAGAAUAAGCACCGGCUAACUUCGUGCCAGCCGCCGCAGUAA